rnacentral:rRNA from 1 species
GUGAACCUGCGGAGGGAUCAUUACCGAGUUAUCCAACUCCCAACCCCUGUGAAUCAUACCUUUAAUUGUUGCUUCGGCGGGACUUCGCGCCCGCCGGGGACCCAAACCUUCUGAAUUUUUUAAUAAGUAUCUUCUGAGUGGUUAAAAAAAAUGAAUCAAAACUUUCAACAACGGAUCUCUUGGUUCUGGCAUCGAUGAAGAACGCAGCGAAAUGCGAUAAGUAAUGUGAAUUGCAGAAUUCAGUGAAUCAUCGAAUCUUUGAACGCACAUUGCGCCCGUCAGUAUUCUGGCGGGCAUGCCUGUUCGAGCGUCAUUACGCCCCUCAAGUCCCCUGUGGACUUGGUGUUGGGGAUCGGCGAGGCUGGUUUUCCAGCACAGCCGUCCCUUAAAUUAAUUGGCGGUCUCGCCGUGGCCCUCCUCUGCGCAGUAGUAAAGCACUCGCAAUCAGGAGCCCGGCGCGGUCCACUGCCGUAAAACCCCCCAACUUUUUAUAGUUGACCUCGAAUCAGGUAGGACUACCCGCUGAACUUAAGCAUAUCAAUAAG